UUCUGUUGUCCUUCAUUCCACCGGAGUCUGUCUCAUACCUAAUCAGAUUUCAGUGGAGUGAAGCACAAGAGACA
rfam:Chelonia mydas contig185644, whole genome shotgun sequence.